rfam:Xenopus laevis strain J chromosome 4S, whole genome shotgun sequence.
GGCGGUAUAGUUCAGUGGUAGAGCAUUUGCCUGCAGAUCAAGAGGUCCUUGGUUCAAAUCCAAGUGCCCACA